AGGAGUUUAAGAGUCGAACAGACUCAAUUUCAAUCAUUUUUCUGUUUGCAUUGUUCCUAAUCCAACAUCGAGGUCGCAUUACAUUUUGUUAAUAUGAUCUUUUGAAAAGUUGUGCGCUGUUAUCCCUUAGGUAACUUGUUCUUUUUUCUUAUUGUAGGUUAUUUUAUUUUCACUAAUUGGUGUUGGGUUUUAAUAUAAGUUGUUUGUGUUUUAUUGUCUCCCCAACCAAAUAAAAGGCGUUUUUGUUAUAAUUUGCUUUUUAUAAAGUUCUAAAGGGUCUUUUUGUCUUUUUUAUUUAUUUAAGCUUUUUAACUUAAAGUUUAAUUUUUAUCUUUUAAACAAAAAAAGUUAAACCU
rnacentral:rRNA from 1 species